rnacentral:rRNA from 1 species
AUUGAACGCUGGCGGCAGGCCUAACACAUGCAAGUCGAACGGUAGCAGGAAGAAGCUUGCUUCUUUGCUGACGAGUGGCGGACGGGUGAGUAAUGUCUGGGAAACUGCCUGAUGGAGGGGGAUAACUACUGGAAACGGUAGCUAAUACCGCAUAACGUCGCAAGACCAAAGAGGGGGACCUUCGGGCCUCUUGCCAUCGGAUGUGCCCAGAUGGGAUUAGCUAGUAGGUGGGGUAACGGCUCACCUAGUCGACGAUCCCUAGCUGGUCUGAGAGGAUGACCAGCCACACUGGAACUGAGACACGGUCCAGACUCCUACGGGAGGCAGCAGUGGGGAAUAUUGCACAAUGGGCGCAAGCCUGAUGCAGCCAUGCCGCGUGUAUGAAGAAGGCCUUCGGGUUGUAAAGUACUUUCAGCGGGGAGGAAGGGAGUAAAGUUAAUACCUUUGCUCAUUGACGUUACCCGCAGAAGAAGCACCGGCUAACUCCGUG